rnacentral:rRNA from 1 species
GAUGAAUGCUGGCGGCGUGCCUAACACAUGCCAGUCGAGCGGCAGCGAGGGGUGCUUGCACCCUGUCGGCGAGCGGCGAACGGCUGAGUAACGCGUAGGAAUUUGCCCCAAAGUGAGGAAUAACUGCCCGAAAGGGUAGCUAAUGCCGCAUAUGGUCUUCGGAUUAAAGGAUUUAUCCGCUUUGGGAGAAGCCUGCGUUGGAUUAGGUUGUUGGUAGGGUAAUGGCCUACCAAGCCGACGAUCCAUAGCUGGUCUGAGAGGAUGAUCAGCCAGACUGGAACUGAGACACGGUCCAGACUCCUACGGGAGGCAGCAGUGAGGAAUCUUCCACAAUGGGCGAAAGCCUGAUGGAGCAACGCCGCGUGAAGGAUGAAGGCCUUCGGGUUGUAAACUUCUUUUAUGAGUGAAGAAUAUGACGGUAACUCGUGAAUAAGCACCGGCUAACUACGUG